rnacentral:rRNA from 1 species
AACGAACGCUGGCGGCAGGCCUAACACAUGCAAGUCGAGCGAGAUCUUCGGGUCUAGCGGCGGACGGGUGAGUAACGCGGGGGAAUAUGCCUCUUGGUACGGAAUAGCCUCGGGAAACUGGGAGUAAUACCGUAUGUGCCCUUUGGGGGAAAGAUUUAUCGCCAAGAGAUUAGCCCGCGUUGGAUUAGGUAGUUGGUGGGGUAAUGGCCUACCAAGCCGACGAUCCAUAGCUGGUUUGAGAGGAUGAUCAGCCACACUGGGACUGAGACACGGCCCAGACUCCUACGGGAGGCAGCAGUGGGGAAUCUUAGACAAUGGGUGCAACCCUGAUCUAGCCAUGCCGCGUGAGUGAUGAAUGCCUUAGGGUUGUAAAGCUCUUUCAGCUGGGAAGAUAAUGACGGUACCAGCAGAAGAAGCCCCGGCUAACUCCGUG